CUUUUGUUUAAAAUGAUAAAAAAAACUUUCUUUUCCUAAAAAAAUUUUAUUUUAUUUUUGAAAAUGUUUCAGACUUUCUUAUGUUAUAACUGUAGUGAAGUAAAUGAUUGAAAUGAGCAAUACAUACAUGUUUCUGCACAACAAUUGGUAAUUUAAACUGCACAUAUAAGAGAAUGGUCAGCUUAGGACGGUAUCAGAUGACAUUCAUGUGUUUGUUUAUUUUACCAUAGUCUGCAGGCUUGAAAAAAGGAAUCUCACUUUCUAAUAGUUGUUAAAACAUUUUAAAAUACUGUAGUAUAAAUCCUAUUUACCUAGUUUAUACAAUCCCUUAACAUUUUACAAGACCACA
rnacentral:lncRNA from 1 species